rnacentral:misc_RNA from 1 species
GAUGAAGAACGCAGUGAAAUGCGAUAGGUAAUGUGAAUUGCAGAAUUCAGUGAAUCAUCGAGUCUUUGAACGCACAUUGCGCCCCCUGGUAUUCCGGGGGGCAUGCCUGUUCGAGCGUCAUUUCACCACUCAAGCCUCGCUUGGUAUUGGGCAACGCGGUCCGCCGCGUGCCUCAAAUCGACCGGCUGGGUCUUCUGUCCCCUAAGCGUUGUGGAAACUAUUCGCUAAAGGGUGUUCGGGAGGCUACGCCGUAAAACAACCCCAUUUCUAAGGUUGACCUCGGAUCAGGUAGGGAUACCCGCUGAACUUAAGCAUAUCAAUAAGGGAGGA